rnacentral:other from 1 species
AGAACCCUGCCGUGCCCGUAAUUGCCGGCAAAAGUUCUGAGCCAACACUUGCGACAUUGGGAGACAGUCCCUGACGGGGCUGCGUAGACUGGGCAGGCGGGGCCUGACUCAGGAACGCAAAACCGUCAUACCGACUCCCACCUGGGUGAGAACUCAGGUUUAGAACUCAACCGGCAUACGGCAUGGUGGGGUUUUC